rnacentral:rRNA from 1 species
UACGAAGGGGGCUAGCGUUGCUCGGAAUCACUGGGCGUAAAGGGCGCGUAGGCGGCCACCGCAAGUCGACUGUGAAAUCUCCGGGCUUAACUCGGAAAGGUCAGCCGAUACUGCGGGGCUAGAGUGCAGAAGGGGCAACUGGAAUUCUCGGUGUAGCGGUGAAAUGCGUAGAUAUCAGGAGGAACACCGAUGGCGAAGGCAGCUCACUGGGACGGUACUGACGCUGAGGCGCGAAAGCGUGGGGAGCAAACAGG